rnacentral:rRNA from 1 species
UAUUGCACAAUGGGCGCAAGCCUGAUGCAGCGACGCCGCGUGGGGGAUGACGGCCUUCGGCCCCCUCAACUCCUUUCGCUAGGGACGAAGCGUAUUUGUGACGGUACCUGGAGAAGAAGCACCGGCUAACUACGUGCCAGCAGCCGCGGUAAUACGUAGGGUGCGAGCGUUGUCCGGAAUUACUGGGCGUAAAGAGCUCGUAGGUGGUUUGUCGCGUCGUUUGUGUAAGCCCGCAGGUUAACUGCGGGAAUGCAGGCGAUACGGGCAUAACUUGAGUGCUGUAGGGGAGACUGGAAUUCCUGGUGUAGCGGUGGAAUGCGCAGAUAUCAGGAGGAACACCGAUGGCGAAGGCAGUGCCCCUGGGCCGUAACUGACGCGCAGGAGCGAAA